rnacentral:lncRNA from 1 species
AUCCAAUACACUCAAGAAGUUGGCAGGAGAAUGGCACAAAAGAUUGGUGACAAAAAGGGAACUUACUGUUUUCCAGUUUCUAUGUAGUGAUAAAGAUAAAUGUAAACAACAAGAAAACAUGGGAGUAGACAAAAUCCCAUUAGUUAAUGUUAAAGAAAAUAAGAACAAAUAUUAUAUAGGUGUAACACAAAGGCUAUUAAACUGUAGACUUAACUGUGUGUAGAAGAACAUAUGAGGGAUAUUGGAUUAGGAAACCUUAACAUUGCCCUCUUGAGGUAUGCUUAUGAAUUAACAAUCCUAUGGGAAGAUGCAAGAGUAAUCAGCCAGGUAGAUACUAACGAAGAGAAGUUUGUAGCAGAAACUUUGGAAGUGAUUGGUCUGCAAGUCAGGGAGGAUGUUAUCAAUAACAGAAUUUUGCAGCAAUCAUCAGUUGCUUGAUUAUAUGCAUUGAAUAUCCCACAUUCAUAAAUCUUUGACCUACUUCUUUUACAUUUUAAUACUUUAUACUGUAUUCAUAAUUUCAACUUACUGUUUUAUGUUACAUUAACAAAAUUCACA